rnacentral:lncRNA from 1 species
UAGGCGAUAGGAGUGGAGUGUGUGGCAAGGAAUCGAACCGUUUCGCUACAGCCCGUCCGCAUCCGCACGCGCCGCUUACUCGUAUGCGGGUUUGUGCGGCGGCCCGUUUUGCACCGUGCUAUGCUUGCGGCGCCCGACGGCGCGCAGUUCUGCCCGCAAGCGCUUAACUCUUCAAGCAGACAUCAGCACCUAAGUUCCAACUUCCAAAUAGAAAAUUGGGCCAAUCGAGUACACAGCUUCAGGCAUACAAGCAAAAGCAAACGGGGAGGGAUCGAGGACUAUAAAAUAUGAUAAAUAUUUGGCAAAAGCUUCAGUACUCGCUGCUGACGAUCAAGGAGGGCUAUGUACUAACACAUGCAAGGGGAG